rnacentral:rRNA from 1 species
UACGGGGGGGCAAGCGUUGUUCGGAAUUACUGGGCGUAAAGGGCUCGUAGGCGGCCAACUAAGUCAGACGUGAAAUCCCAGGCUUAACCUGGGAACUGCGUCUGAUACUGGAUGGCUUGAAUUCGGGAGAGGGAUGCAGAAUUCCAGGUGUAGCGGUGAAAUGCGUAGAUAUCUGGAGGAAUACCGGUGGCGAAGGCGGCAUCCUGGACCGACAUUGACGCUGAGGAGCGAAAGCUAGGGGAGCAAACGGGG